UCGGAUAUUGGGCGUAAGAGUCCGCUAGGCUAGUCAUCCAGUCUGCUGUUAAAUAGCGAGGCUUAACCUCGUAAAGGCAGUGGAAACUGGAAGACUAGAGUGUAGUAGGGGCAGAGUGGAAUUCCUGGUGUAGCGGUGAAAUGCGUAGAGAUCAGGAAGAACACCGGUGGCGAAGGCGCUCUGCUGGGCUAUAACUGACACUGAGGGACGAAAGCUAGGGGAGCGAAUGGGAUUAGAUACCCCAGUAGUCCUAGCGGUAAACGAUGGAAACUAGGUGUGGCCUGUAUCGACCCGGGCCGUGCCGAAGCAAACGCGUUAAGUUUCCCGCCUGGGGAGUACGCACGCAAGUGUGAAACUCAAAGGAAUUGGCGGGGGAGCACAA
rnacentral:rRNA from 1 species